ensembl:lncRNA
UCGGUCUGUUUAAAGUCAUGAGCGAUUGCAACGUUUAAUUUGAUUCUAAUUUGAACGUUUAAAAUAAUUGCAAGUCACAUUAUGACUCGUUUAGGUAAAAACAGAGAUUUACCAGGAAGUAAGGUUUUCCGCGAUAGAUCUUCCUGAAAUAUGUCUGUCUGGUCGCUUGGCAUGUUAUGUCUGUAGGGAUGUCACGAGAACCGAUACUUCGGUACAAAGUCGAUGCCAAAAUACCGGGGAUCCAAAACGUGACAGAUAGCGGCAAGUGCUGCAGCUCCGCCUCGACUUGAGUGUCGCGAACUUUGCGUUCGAGGCGGAUCAGGGUAUAAUGAAUUCGCAAAAACCAAAAUGCAAAUGGUGCCUUGAAACGUUCGUGACUAAAGGAGUAAACGCUACCAACUUAGCGAAACACUUCAAAGACAGACAUGCAGAUUCGUUUAAAGAAUUCAAGUUUAUGAGUCCUGCCUAACAACGAGAAGGUAUGCUACACAUCCCUUAAUACAAUGGAAAUUUGUCAGAAAUUGGAAUGUUUCACCCCAGUCUCCCUCCAAAAACCCAUCCAACGAGAAGGCCAGCCGCUCCUCCC